rnacentral:misc_RNA from 1 species
GAUGAAGAACGCAGCGAAAUGCGAUACGUAAUGUGAAUUGCAGAAUUCAGUGAAUCAUCGAGUCUUUGAACGCACAUUGCGCCCCCUGGUAUUCCGGGGGGCAUGCCUGUCCGAGCGUCAUUGCUGCCCUCAAGCACGGCUUGUGUGUUGGGCCCCGUCCUCCGAUUCCGGGGGACGGGCCCGAAAGGCAGCGGCGGCACCGCGUCCGGUCCUCGAGCGUAUGGGGCUUUGUCACCCGCUCUGUAGGCCCGGCCGGCGCUUGCCGAUCAACCCAAAUUUUUAUCCAGGUUGACCUCGGAUCAGGUAGGGAUACCCGCUGAACUUAAGCAUAUCAAUAAGCGGAGGA